rnacentral:rRNA from 1 species
CAGAGGGUGCGAGCGUUAAUCGGAAUUACUGGGCGUAAAGCGUGCGUAGACGGUUAUGUAAGUCAGGUGUGAAAGCCCCGGGCUCAACCUGGGAAUUGCAUUUGAGACUGCAUAGCUAGGGUGCGGAAGAGGGAAGCGGAAUUUCCGGUGUAGCGGUGAAAUGCGUAGAUAUCGGAAGGAACACCAGUGGCGAAAGCGGCUUCCUGGUCCAGCACCGACGUUCAGGCACGAAAGCGUGGGGAGCAAACAGGAUUAGAUACCCUGGUAGUCCACGCCAUAAACGAUGAGAACUAGACGUUGAGAGGGUAAGCCUCCCAGUGUCGAAGCUAACGCGAUAAGUUCUCCGCCUGGGGAGUACGGCCGCAAGGUUG